GACGAACGCUGGCGGCGUGCUUAACACAUGCAAGUCGAGCGGUAAGGCCCUUUCGGGGGUACACGAGCGGCGAACGGGUGAGUAACACGUGGGUGACCUGCCCUCAGCUCUGGGAUAAGCCUGGGAAACCGGGUCUAAUACUGGAUAUGACUCCAUGACGCAUGUUGUGGGGUGGAAAGCCUUGUGCGGCUGAGGAUGGGCCCGCGGCCUAUCAGCUUGUUGGUGGGGUGANGGCCUACCAAGGCGACGACGGGUAGCCGGCCUGAGAGGGCGACCGGCCACACUGGGACUGAGACACGGCCCAGACUCCUACGGGAGGCAGCAGUGGGAAUCUUGCGCAAUGGGCGAAAGCCUGACGCAGCGACGCCGCGUGAGGGAUGACGGCCUGG
rnacentral:rRNA from 1 species